rnacentral:rRNA from 1 species
GAUGAACGCUAGCGGCAGGCUUAAUACAUGCAAGUCGAGGGGCAACAGGGGUAGCAAUACCUGCUGGCGACCGGCAAACGGGUGCGGAACACGUACAGAACCUUCCUUUAAGCGGGGGAUAGCCCGGAGAAAUCCGGAUUAAUACCCCACUAGUAAUAUUGGUUGGCAUCAACUGGUAUUUAAAGAUUAUCACUUAGAGAUGGCUGUGCGGCUGAUUAGGUAGUUGGUGUGGGUAACGGCCCACCGAGCCAGCGAUCAGUAACUGGUGUGAGAGCACGACCAGUCACACGGGCACUGAGACACGGGCCCGACCC